UACGGAGGGUGCAAGCGUUAUCCGGAAUUACUGGGUUUAAAGGGUGCGUAGGCGGCUUGAUAAGUCAGAGGUGAAAGCCUAUCGCUUAACGAUAGAAUUGCCUUUGAUACUGUAAAGCUUGAAAGGGGUUGAGGUCUGCAGAAUGUGGCAUGUAGCGGUGAAAUGCAUAGAUAUGCCAUAGAACACCGAUUGCGAAGGCAGCUGGCUGGGCCUACUUUGACGCUGAGGCACGAAAGCGUGGGGAGCGAACAGA
rnacentral:rRNA from 1 species